rnacentral:rRNA from 1 species
AAACCAACAGGGAUUGCCCUAGUAACGGCGAGUGAAGCGGCAACAGCUCAAAUUUGAAAGCUGGCCUUCGGGUCCGCAUUGUAAUUUGUAGAGGAUGCUUUGGGUGAAACGCCAGUCUAAGUUCCUUGGAACAGGACGUCAUAGAGGGUGAGAAUCCCGUAUGUGACUGGAAAUGUUAACCUAUGUAAAGCUCCUUCGACGAGUCGAGUUGUUUGGGAAUGCAGCUCUAAAUGGGAGGUAAAUUUCUUCUAAAGCUAAAUAUUGGCGAGAGACCGAUAGCGCACAAGUAGAGUGAUCGAAAGAUGAAAAGCACUUUGGAAAGAGAGUUAAAAAGCACGUGAAAUUGUUGAAAGGGAAGCGCUUGCAAUCAGACUUGUUUAAACUGUUCGGCCGGUCUUCUGACCGGUUUACUCAGUUUGGACAGGCCAGCAUCAGUUUCGGCGGCCGGAUAAAGGCUCUGGGAAUGUGGCCUUCACUUCGGUGAAGGUGUUCCAGCCCAGGGUGUAAUACGGCCAGCCGGGACUGAGGUCCGCGCUUCGGCUAGGAUGCUGGCGUAAUGGUUGUAAGCGAC